GUUCAAUGCAAUGGAAGUGGAAUGUGUUUUUUAUUCUUUGAAUAAUGUCUCGUUUCAAAGAGAUUUCUUGGGUAUUCAUAACAAUCAAAUUAUGUAUGUAUUAUUACCAAGACGAUGCCCUUUUCUCUCUUAAUCGAUAAUUGGUAGUUGGUACGUACACUUUAUAUUUGCUAUAUCCAAAUUCUCGAUAUAGCAGUUUUCUGUCACACAAGCAAAUUUUCAACAUAGAACCAUUUUCUGCAUAAUGCCGUAUAAUCUUUUACUUGCUAUCUCUUCCUGUAAAUUUUAAAUCAAGCGGCAACAGCCUUGCAGACCGAGGUCGGCAAGUCCCAAAUUGCUGGAAGGAGAAAUUUCUUGCCAUUGGCACCGUAAGCGUUAUAGCUUGCCUUGCUAGUUUUAUCAACGAUCAACUUUCCAGGAUAUCCUGGAUAAGCUCCAGCACCAAAUAUUCCAGGACAAGCGGAGACAGCCUCCAGUGGUGCCAAGGCAUUGCCCUGGAAGUAACCAUUCUUAUAAGGGUUGGUAGCAGCUCCUGCAAGAACAGUUGCAAUGUUUAUAAUAAUCCCAUCAGCACUAACACCAUUAGGUGCCACCAGGGCAGGCCCUGGACCAUAAGCUGGAACUGCAUAAGGCCAGGCACAAAAUCCAGGACACUGUCCCGAGUCUCCUACAUGUGCAUAUACUACUUUAACCUUGGAGAGCUGAGCACUGUCAUGAAACCCACAGGAAUCCCUGCAAAAUUUCUCCACGAUUGUGUCCUUAGAGGUCAAAACUAGGUAAAAACCUUUAGAGUCUUCAGGAAGUCUUUUGGCUUUUAUAUUGUUCUUGACAACGUCAGCUAUUUGGGCACGCCUGAUAUUCUUGCCCAAAGAAUAUACAUCGGCAACUUGUUUAACGACUCUAAAAGCCCUAGAAACAGGCUUCUGAGCCUUGUCCUUGUAAGAACCAGUUAUUUUCCACCAUGUUAAGACACUGGGCUUUAGAUGGGGAUCAAUGACCUCGGGGUUGAAAGAAGCAAAGAAAUCAAGUAUGGAGUUUCUGUCUUUUAUGGAGAAAAAUCCAUACCAUACAAGGUAGACAUUGAUAACACUGGGUUCUGUCAAAAGAGGGCCUCCAUGGUACGCGAGUGUGUUGGAUGUUAGGGCUACAGAAGAAGAUUGGGUUUGGGUUUGGUUAGAAUAUGAUCGGGGUGCUAAGGCCAGGGCAACUAUAGUAAUCAGGGGGCAGAGCAGAGACCUCGCUAACAUUUUGAUCUUUCUUGGAUAUAAAUGAAGGAUUAUUGUUAU
rnacentral:misc_RNA from 1 species